rnacentral:tRNA from 1 species
AAAGAAUUAGUUAAAACAAAAUAACAUAAAUUUGUCAAAUUUAAAUCAUUAAAUUAUUAAUAUUCUUUU